CCGACCAUAGCUCAGUUGGUAGAGCGGAGGACUGUAGAGUGAGUGUGGUAACCCUUACGUGGCUGGUUCGAAUCCGGCUGGCUGGA
rfam:Ascaris suum AG00494, whole genome shotgun sequence.